rnacentral:lncRNA from 1 species
UGAAGGUGAGAUUCUCAAAGUGAAAAAAAAAUAUGCCAAUCUUUUAGUUGAAAUAAGCAGGGACGAUGAAAACACGUGGGAAGCUUACGAAGAAUCUACACUAGACCCCGGAACAAACAAAAUACUGCUGCGUUCAAAAUCAAAAACGUCAGACGUAACCAGCAGACAUAUCGAGAUUUCAACGACAAUCGUUUCUGGUGUAGCUGGGUUUUCUAGUUAUUUAUGUCAUAUUGCAUUAACAACAUUAUUUUACUUCAUGCAUU